rnacentral:rRNA from 1 species
UACAGAGGUCUCAAGCGUUGUUCGGAUUCAUUGGGCGUAAAGGGUGCGUAGGUGGCGUCGUAAGUCAGGUGUGAAAUCUCGGAGCUUAACUCCGAAACUGCAGUCGAUACUGCCGUGCUUGAGGACUGGAGAGGAGACUGGAAUUUACGGUGUAGCGGUGAAAUGCGUAGAUAUCGUAAGGAAGACCAGUGGCGAAGGCGGGUCUCUGGACAGUUCCUGACGCUGAGGCACGAAGGUCAGGGGAGCAAACGGG